GACGAACGCUGGCGGCGUGCUUAACACAUGCCAGUCGAACGGAAAGGCCCUGCUUUUGUGGGGUGCUCGAGUGGCGAACGGGUGAGUAACACGUGAGUAACCUGCCCUUGACUUUGGGAUAACUUCAGGAAACUGGGGCUAAUACCGGAUAGGAGCUCCUGCUGCAUGGUGGGGGUUGGAAAGUUUCGGCGGUUGGGGCUGGACUCGCGGCUUAUCAGCUUGUUGGGGGGGUAGUGGCGUACCAAGGCUUUGACGGGUAGCCGGCCUGAGAGGGUGACCGGCCACAUUGGGACUGAGAGACGGCACAGACACCUACGGGAGGCAGCAGUGGGGAAUAUUGAACAAUGGGCGGAAGCCUGAUGCAGCAACGCCGCGUGCGGGAUGACGGCCUUCGGGUUGUAAACCGCUUUCGCCUGUGACGAAGCGUGAGUGACGGUAAUGGGUAAAGAAGCACCGGCUAACUACGUG
rnacentral:rRNA from 1 species